rnacentral:misc_RNA from 1 species
GCGGCAUCUCUGCCACCCAAUUCCGCCGUCAUCGACGUUUGUGCCACGGCGGUGGUUUCAUCUAUAGCUUUGUACACUGAAAAAUUACUGAUUUUGAAUUUUCGAUGAUACCCAGAUGGAAGAAACAUAGCAAAGAAUGGUUUUUGUGGAUCAGAUCUGUAUUCAUCAAAUGAUGGAUUUGUUGAAAAAGAUUGGCAUUUGUGGAUGGCUUUGAGAGUUUAACACCCCAACUAUGAGAUAUU